rnacentral:rRNA from 1 species
CCCCUAAGACGAGGAUAACAGUUGGAAACGACUGCUAAGACUGGAUAGGAGACAAGAAGGCAUCUUCUUGUUUUUAAAAGACCUAGCAAUAGGUAUGCUUAGGGAGGAGCUUGCGUCACAUUAGUUAGUUGGUGGGGUAAAGGCCUACCAAGACUAUGAUGUGUAGCCGGGCUGAGAGGUUGAACGGCCACAUUGGGACUGAGACACGGCCCAAACUCCUACGGGAGGCAGCAGUAGGGAAUUUUCGGCAAUGGAGGAAACUCUGACCGAGCAACGCCGCGUGAACGAUGAAGUAUUUCGGUACGUAAAGUUCUUUUAUUAGGGAAGAAUAAAUGAUGGAAAAAUCAUUCUGACGGUACCUAAUGAAUAAGCCCCGGCUAACUAUGUGCCAGCAGCCGCGGUAAUACAUAGGGGGCAAGCGUUAUCCGGAAUUAUUGGGCGUAAAGGGUGCGUAGGCGGUUAAAUAAGUUUAUGGUCUAAGUGCAAUGCUCAACAUUGUGAUGCUAUAAAAACUGUUUAGCUAGAGUAAGAUAGAGGCAAGUGGAAUUCCAUGUGUAGUGGUAAAAUGCGUAAAUAUAUGGAGGAACACCAGUAGCGAAGGCGGCUUGCUGGGUCUUUACUGACGCUGAGGCACGAAAGCGUGGGGAGCAAACAGGAUUAGAUACCCUGGUAGUCCACGCCGUAAACGAUGAGUACUAAACGUUGGGUAAAACCAGUGUUGAAGUUAACACAUUAAGUACUCCGCCUGAGUAGUACGUACGCAAGUAUGAAACUUAAAGGAAUUGACGGGACUCCGCACAAGCGGUGGAUCAUGUUGUUUAAUUCGAAGGUACCCGAAAAACCUCACCAGGUCUUGACAUGCUUCUGCAAAGCUGUAGAAACACAGUGGAGGUUAUCAGUUGCACAGGUGGUGCAUGGUUGUCGUCAGCUCGUGUCGUGAGAUGUUGGGUUAAGUCCCGCAACGAGCGCAACCCUUAUUGUUAGUUACCAGCACGUAAUGGUGGGGACUUUAGCAAGACUGCCAGUGAUAAAUUGGAGGAAGGUGGGGAUGACGUCAAAUCAUCAUGCCCCUUAUGACCUGGGCUACAAACGUGAUACAAUGGCUGUUACAAAGGGUAGCUGAAGCGCAAGUUUUUGGCGAAUCUCAAAAAAACAGUCUCAGUUCGGAUUGAAGUCUGCAACUCGACUUCAUGAAGUUGGAAUCGCUAGUAAUCGCGAAUCAGCAUGUCGCGGUGAAUACGUUCUCGGGGUUUGUACACACCGCCCGUCAAACCACGAAAGUUGGCAAUACCCAAAGCCGGUGGCCUAACUUCGCAAGAAGAGGGAACCGUCUAA